AGGAAAAGGAAAAAAGAAAUGUUUUCUUGAAUAAGGGUAUUUUUUUGAACUUUUUGGAAUCGUGUGCUUCAGGACCCUGUCAAAUAUUACUAAACAAUACGCAUCGAAACAAUUAGAAAUUUGACGUGAACCUACAACUGAUUCACAUACACAGAAACACACCGACUCAAAAGCCAAUUAAAAAGUUACAAAGGCCUGUGCUGAAAAAUAAUUUAUGUAGAUCUCACAGUAUGACAGAAUAGAUUACUUUUUUAAAUUCUCAGAACAGCUCCAUAAAGUUGAAGUUCAAACCUCCAAGUUAUGACUCAAGAAUGUUAAUCUGGCCACCAUUCUUGCUGGUUUUUAAUUAAACAAACUUUCUUCUUAACAGCUCUUUGCAAGUGACGGUCGUCAGUACAUGUGUGUGUGGGUAUGUGCAUGUAUGUUGAUAUGAUAGAACUUGCCGUUUUUAAUGUGUUUAGCAUGUUAUUAAAUAUAGCAUGAAAAGACAUGAAAGAGUUGAGGAAAGCAGGAAGAAGGGAGGGAAAGUUCAAGGAAAAAGUAAAGGGAGUUGAAGAAUUGAGGUGAAUGAAAGUCUGAAAAAGCAGAUUAGGAUUCUAAAAUAAGCUUUUAAGGUUUGCUUAAACUCUAGUUUUAAAUUUACAACAUUGUCAGUUUGAAAUAAUGCUGGUAGGAAGGAAAUACAUUGAGCCACGGACCUGGCAUCUGGAGAUACUGGAAAGGAAAGAGGGAGGGAUUGAGGUGGACGCUCACGGGUAAGGAGGAACAAAGGAGAAGCCCACUCAGGCUUGUCUAUGAACUCAUCCGUGUGGUUCUCCUGCAGGGGAGCCUCAUAAAUGCCCCGGUCAGUGCUGGACCCCAAAGAAAACCACUGCGGCCAUCUCCUGUUUCCCUCACAAGAUUUCCCUGAAAAGACAACUACUUUUGGAAUUCCAUGUGGUUUUUCAGCCUUUUCCAAAUCUCUCUAAACACCAGGAGUAUUCAAUGCUUGAGCAGAGGGACCCACACUCCAGGACCCAGCAGAGAAUGCCUGGAGAGGAACCCAGUGAUGCCGACUAGGUCUAAGCAGAGCUCCCAGCUUGAUGACGAUGCUCAACCAGAGAAAGAAUCCCAGGAGGAAAGUCCUUCUUUUCAUUACCAUGGCAAAUACUUCAGCUGCCUCUGCUUCAGAACUCGGAAUUAUGAGAACUCAUCAGCCUACGUGUAAACGCUGGAAAAACAGACAGUUGGAUUUAGCUGUGAUGAUCCCAGUGACCACAGAGGCGGCAAAGAAAGUGCAUCAUCUCACACAUCACCAGGUGGUCCUUCCUCAGCAGCAAGGGAAACGCUUUAGCGGAGGGACGGUGGCCAAGUUUAUAUUUGUCAAUGUCAUGCUGAAAGAUCUCUGGUCUGUAUAAUAAACGCUAUUUCUUCCUAACCUGUCUUGUUCUUUAUGAAACUGAUGGGUAUAUUUCAAAGUUUAUAUCCUUCCUAACAAACCAGGGACAUGGUUAUUACAUACUCCCCCUAAGAAAAUAUCUUCCCCUGAUGGGUGGGGUGGCUCACCCCUGUAAUCCUAGCACUUUG